rnacentral:lncRNA from 1 species
GGGGGUAUUCAGUUAGCUCUUGAAGGGUAAAGAGCCUAAUAAUGUAACAUACAACGUUAUGAUUGAUGGACUAUGCAAGGAGGGGUUGAUGGAUGAUGCUUUAAAGAUCUUAGAAAUGAUGAAAGGGAAAGGGCUAUAGUUCAAAAGGUGAAACAGAAGAAAUUGUUAAUUUGCUUCAUCAGAUGGCAGACAAGGGUGUUAUUCUUGACAAAGAAAUAACUUCUACGAUCUUGGCAUGCCUCUGUCAAAUCUCUGACGAUGUUGAUGUGAUGGAGGUUCUCCCAACUUUUUCCAAAAACACAUCAAAAGGAAUAAGCAUUACCUGGAAUGAGCUACUGAUGAAAGUCAAUAAAUCUUAAGCGGAACUUAUGUUACGUGCUGCUUGAGAUUCUUUCUCCUGAAGAGGCCUCCCAGUACCACAAAAGCGUGUUGCUUUCUAUGUGCUAUGCUACUUAACAGGCCCUUGUGGAGCAAUGGAUUGAUUUUGCAAUGUUAGAGAUUGAUGCCAAUAUUUUGCGUUGGUUCAUACCGCGUAUCGGUUUACAGUCUACCUUCCUCCGGCUGAGGAAGCGGCAAUUUCUUCCUUGAAGAGAGCACUAACUGCUUUGAACACUUAUCUUGCUUCCAACAUGUACUUAGUUGGGCACUCUGUGACGUUGGCUGAUAUCAUUAUGAUAUGUAGUUUAACACUGGGUUAACCCGUUGUUGACAAAAAAAUUUACCUCUGAAUUUCCUCAUGUUGAGAGAUACUUUUGGACAUUGGUUAAUCAGCCUAAUUUU